UGGGGAAUAUUGCACAAUGGGGAAACCCUGAUGCAGCGACGCCGCGUGAGCGAUGAAGUAUUUCGGUAUGUAAAGCUCUAUCAGCAGGGAAGAAAAUGACGGUACCUGACUAAGAAGCCCCGGCUAACUACGUGCC
rnacentral:rRNA from 1 species